rnacentral:lncRNA from 1 species
GCGGCGCGAGCUGGACUACCGCGGUCGCUGUUGGUGGCGCCGCCGGGCCUGCGACUAGGUGGCAUCCUUCAGACACUAUAGGCCGUCUCUGCACACGUGAUGCGGGGCUCGGUCACGUUGCCCCCUGGAAGCUUGAGGAUGCGCCAGGUUUGACUCUGCAGGGCGUACGCGCUUUAGGGAUGGAAGGAAGAGGAACGCGGCAGGAAGGCGAGCCCCAAGGUGGAGAAUCGCCUGGGCGCGCAGGCUGCGGCGGCUUCGCACAGCCGCCCUGGGCGCUGCACGGGUCCGCGCGCACCCUGCUGCGCACCCACUCGCGGCCAGCUCCCUACAGAGGAGUGGAGUGACUGCUCGACUACCACCCCUCUUUUAGUGUGAGCGUCUGGAGUCCUGACCGCCCCAGCCAGCCCAGCUACGAUGAACUGUCUAAGAGGAUGUGGCAAGACCCAGAAGUAUGGGUGACCUUAUGUCAGAGGAAGUGGCUUUCUUAUUGCAGCAAAAAUUCCCGUACCAAUGUCAGUGCUAGGAUGGAGUUUCACUGUGUCACCCAGGCUGGAGUGCAGUGGCACGAUCUCAGCUCAAUGCAACCUCUGUCUCCUGGGUUCAAGCAAAUCUCCUGCCUCAGCCUCUUGAGUAGCCUGAGUAGCUGGGACUAAAGAGUCGUGCUCUGUCACCCAGGCUGGAGUACAGUGGCGUGAUGUCUGCUUACUGCAGCCUACACCUCCCAGUUCAAGUGAUUCUCCUGCCUCAGCCUUCCAAGUAGCUGGGAUUACAGGUAUUUGCUACCAAACCUGGCUAAUUGUUUGUGGUUUUAGUAGAGAUGAGAUUUCAUCAUGUUGGCCAGGCUAGUCUCGAACUCCUGGACUCAAGUGAUUCGCCUACUUCAGCCUCCCAAAGUGCUGGGAUUAUAGGUGUGAGCCACUGUGCCCGGUCCCACUGAGCCAAUUCUCUUAUUGCCACUUUGGACUCCUCCCAGUGAGGACAAAUAGACACUGAGGACAUCAUGAUAUGCAGAAAGAAACUUGGAGUGCAAGACAAGAGACCUGCACCUUUCUUUCAGCUCCGUUCCAAGCUGCUUGAUCACAGACAUCUCUUCUGUUAGAUGAGGAUAACAGGAUCUGCUCUACCUGCCCUGGAGGAUCUUUGCAAGAAUGAAGUUAGGGGGAAAAAAGUGACAGAACAUAUUGAAAACUUUUCAUAAAUAUCAGAUGCCUUAUUUGUUGUGACACUAUGGGUGGACAGAUGAUUUCAGUUGAGAGAAGAAUUAAGAUUCCUAUGCCCUGCGUUUAACUGGGUCUUGGUUACCCUGAAAGACUGAGAGAGCAAAACCCAAAUAUAGAGGGAGUUUUUCUUAACUGUCCUCCCACCAUGGCUUAUUUGCUUCCUUCUGAAAGUUCAAAAUUGAUGCUAUUAAUUUGGGGUGUCAGCAGUUAUUAAUGGAUCCUUGGGCCAGCAGAUUUUUGUUCCUGCUCUGGAGGGCAGGCAUAACUCUGAUGUGAAUUGGACGUGUUGAAUACUGGAGUGGAUUACUGAAAGAAGGAAGAAAGGGAAAGUUGCAUUUCUUGAGUGCCAAGAAUGGAUAUUUGAAACUUCAUUUAAUUAUACAGUAGUUCAGUGAGGUAGCAAUCACCAUCAACAUCUUGGAGAUAACAGGCUCAGGGAAGCUUAACAUGUUCUCAGUGACAGAACAUCAUACACACAAAGUGGCAGAAUUGGAGUUUGAAUUAGAAUGAUGCCAAAGCCAAUUAUUUUGUUCUCUAUCCCCCUGAGGUCUUAGGGCUCAUCUAAUACCCUUUUUUUGGCCUCUAAAACUUCUCCCUGCAUUUUCAGGUGAGAAAACUGAGUUCACUCCACAAUGACUGAACUAAUCUACACUCCCACCAGCAGUGUAUAAGUGUUCCCUUUUCUCUACUACCUCAUGAGCAUCUGUUAUUUUUUGACUUUUUAGUAAUAGCCAUUCUGACUGGUGUAACAUGGGAUCUCACUGUGGUUUUGAUUUUUAUUUCCCUAAUGAUUAGUAAUAUUGAGUAUUUUUCAUGUUUGUUGGCCGCAUGUAUGUCUUCUUUUGAAAAGUGUCUGUUCAUGUCCUUUGCCCACUUUUUAAAGGGGUAGUGUUUUUGCUUGUAUGUUUGUUUAAGUUUCUUGUACAUUCUGGAUAUUAGACAUUUGUCAGAUGUAGAGUUUGCAGAUAUUUAUCUCCCAUUCUGUAGGUUGCCUGUUUACUCUGACAGUUUCUUUUGUUGUGAAGAAGCUUGUUAGUUCAAGAGCUUCUUUAGGGUCCCAUUUGCCAAUUUUUGCUUUAUUGCAAUUGCUUUUGGCAUUUUUGUUGUGAAAUCUUUGCCAUUUUCUAUGUCCAGCAUGGUAUCACCUAGGUUAUCUUCGAGGGUUUUUAAAUUUUUAAGUUUUGCAUUUAGGUCUUUAAUUUAUCUUGAGUUGAUUUUUCGAUAUGGUGUAAGGAGAUUUUCAAUCUUCUGCAUAUGGCUAGGCUGUUUUCCCAGCACCAUUUAUUGAAUAGGAAAUCCUUUUACCAUUGCUUGUUUUUGUCACCUUUGUCAAAGAUCAGAUGGUUGUAGGUGUGUAGCUUUAUUUCUGGGCUGUCUAUUCUGUUCCAUUGUUCUAUGUGUCUGUUUUUAUACCAGUACCAUGCUGUUUCGGUUACUGUAGCCUUGUAGUACAGUUUGAAGUUGGGCAAUGUGAUUACCCUAGCUUUGUUCUUUUUGUUUAGGAUUGCCUUGGCUAUUCUGGCUCAUUUUUGGUUCCAUAUGAAUUUUAGGAUAGUUUUUUCUAGUUCAGUGAAGAAUGUCAUUGGUAGUUUGAUAGGAAUAGCAUUGAAUCUGUAAAUUGCUUUGGGCAGUAUGGCCAUUUUAAUGAUAUUGAUUCUUCCUAUCAAUGAGCAUGAAAUAUUCUUACAUUUGUUUGUGUCAUUUCUGAUUUCUUUGAGCAGAGUUUUGUAAUUUUCGUUGUACAGCUCUUUCACUUCCCUGAUUAGCUGUAUUACUAGGCAUUUUAUCCUUUUUGUGGCAAUUGUGAAUGGGAUUGCAUUCCUGAGUUGACUCUUGGCUUGGAUGCUAUUAGUGUAUAAGAAUGCUACUGAUUUUUGUACAUUGAUUUUGUAUACCAAAACUUUGCUGAACUUGCUUUUCAGCCCAGGGAGCUUUUGGGCUGAGACUAUGGGAUUUUCUAGAUAUAGAAUCAUGUCAUCUGCAAGCAUGGAUAGUUUGACUUCCUCUCUUCCUAUUUGCAUGCCUUUUGUUUCUUUCUCUUGCCUGAUUGCUCUGGCCUGGCUCCUAUUAUUUUAAAGUAUGUUCCUUGGACGUUGAAUUUUAUCAAAAGCCUUUUCUUCAUCUAUUGAGAUAAUCAUGUAGUUUUUGUCUUUAGUUCUGUUUAUGUGAUGAUUCACAUUUAUUGAUUUGCAUAUUGUAUUAGUCUGUUCUCACGCUGCUAAUAAAGACACACCAGAGACUGGAUAAUUUAUAAAAGAGAGGUUUAAUGGACGCACAAUUCCACAUGGCUGGGGCAGUCUCACAGUCAUGGUGGAAAGCAAAGGAGAAAGAAAGGCACAUAUUACAUGACAGCAGGCAAGACAGCUUGUGCAAGACAACUCCCGUUUAUAAAACCAUCAACUCUCAUGAGACUUAUUUACUACCAUGAGAACAAUAUGGGGGAAAUCACCCCUAUGAUUCAAUUAUCUCCAUCUGGCUCUACCCUUGACAUGUGGGGAUUAUUACAAUUCAAGGUGAGAUUUUGGUGGGGGGACACAACCCAACCAUAUCAUGUAUGUUGAAUGAACCUUGCAUCCAAGUGAUAUCAAACCUCUUCCUAAUUCCCUUUUCCUCCUACCCUUCCCAGUCUCUAAUAUCCUCCAUUCAUUCUAUUUUGUACUCCUGUGAGAUCAACUUUUUUUUAGCUUCCACAUAUGGGUAAAAAUAUCUGGUGUUUAGUUUUUUGUUCCUGGCUAGUUUCACUUAAUAUUAUGUCCUCCUGUUCCAUCCAUGGUGCUGUGAAUGGCAGGAUUUUAUUGGUUUUAUGGCUAGAUAAUAGCCCAGUGUGUAUAUAUACCAUAUUUUCUCCAUCCAUUCAUCUGCUGUUGGAGACCUAGAUUGAUUCCAUAUUUUGGCUAUUGUGACUAAACAAUAAACAUGGGGUUGCUACAAUAAACAUGGGGGUAUACAUGCAAAACAUUUCUUAACAUCUUUUUUUCUAACUCUUCUACCCCUUAUUUUAUCACCAAACCCUGCACUAUCUCCUGUUUUUUUUUUUUUUUUGAAAUAACUGGUGCUUGCUUUACAGGAAGCCCCAGAAAACACUGUGCCUUGGAAUUCCUAGGCACUUAACUUACAAAUAUAAUGGAACCAAGGAUCAGAAGCUGGAUUUGAAGACAUUGCAAGGAAGGUGUUUCCUAGAGUAAUCUAUAGAUGGAAUUGAUUCUGUAGAAAGGUGAUAAACCCUGACCAUUGAGUGUUGAAGCUAAGAUGAGGAGACUACUGGUAGAAAUAUUCAAAAGUAACUAAAACACAUAGGUGCUGGGGAUGGAUGGUUAGUCAGAUUAUUGACUCUCAUGGCUUGUAAUUAGUUUGUGAUCUGAAUUUAAAUUACUUAGGAAAGGAAUGGCUUUUCAGCAGAAAAAUAUAUGCAUCAAUAGCACCUACCAGUCCCAACAAAUGAUUCUAUAUAUUUUUUUAAGUUGGUGAAUUUUAUUAUAUUUUGCCACAAUUAAAAAUAAAAAAUAAUUUGAAGGGAAAUGAUUUUAACAAAUAAAAUAAAUGGAGUGGAAGGAAAUAUGGAGGGUUAGUAAUCAACAGGCAUUAAGUCCAGCAAGAUGAAUAAGCUCUAGAGAUCUGCUGAACGACAUGGUACUUAUAGUCAACAAUAAUUUAUUGUACACUUAAAAAUUUGUUGAGAUCUCACGUUGUGUUCUUGCCACAAUACAGUAAAAUAAAAAUAAGUUUUACACAUUUUUUAAAAGGUUAUACACCUCAUAAAAGUGAUAGAGAAGGAGACAGCCAAAUGCUGCCCAGGCCAUUGUGCACAUUGAGCUUAUCUAAACAUGCCCACAGUGAAAAAUUCUGUCCCUUAACACAUGCGUAGUAUGUGUAGACAAGCUCCUUGGGUUUUCCUACUUUACUGUGCAUUACAACUCAUGUGUCAAGUUCAAAGACAUUCUGUCCCUGAACACAUGCAUAGUAAGGGAAAUAAAUCAAUAUGGAGUGGCUCAGACUAAGGGCCCACCUGUGCACUGGGACAAUGGGGUGGACCCACCUGGAAUCCACGCCUUAUAAAUUGGGGAGAAGCCUGGCCUUUUCAGCUCAUGUGUGGUGGCCUGGUAUUCAAUCUGUGAGGUGGAAGCCUGUUGAAAGGUCCCCCUUUUUUCUCUGAGAGCUUUCUUUUAAUUCUGCUCUCUCCACCUUUCAAUGUGUCCACGUACCUAAUUUUUCCUGGUUGUGACACAAGAACCAGAUUUUAGCUGAACUAAAGAGCAAAAAAUCCUGCAUCAAAAGGAGAGCCAAGACUCAAAAAGAGAAACAGUCUUUCGAAUUUUUCAUUGAUUUUAAUUCAGUGACUUCUCUGAACAAUAAAGUUGCAACUUAUUUGAAUAAAAACACUCAAAAUAAAGGGAACACU